AUAGACUGAACAUCAGCAAAAACCACCAGACAGCAGCUUGAUACCAUCGACAUCAUCAGAAAGUGCAACUAACCAGCAGCGGUUGCUGUGGCGACCUACCUCCAUCCACUGUCCGUGGGACUUCAUCUUGAGUACGAAGCAGGGGUCGGGUUUGGACAGAGCGUCUCGAUCUGAGAUCCCUUUGCAGGCUCAUCUGAUUAACAGAGAGAGGCUGCGGUAUCUGGCUGCCCAUCACUGAUGUUCUCCACAGGAGGAAGUUACAGUAAAAAUAUCCUCCUCAUCGUCGGCUCGGGUUACACGGGAUGUGAGGAGGAAGAGCGGAAGAUGAGUGUCCAGGAGUCUAUUUUAAAAACUGACCAGAGAUCAGUUCUUUAACUGUAGAGGAUUAAGUUUUACUCCAUGUGUGGCUGAAAAUCCUCUUUCUCUCACAUGUUGGAGUUUCUUUAGUGUUUUGGAGGUCGAACAACAACAUUAACUUAAAACACUCUUAAUUUACUCCUUAAUCUACGACUGAAAACAUUCAACGUGUGAUAACCAGAGAUCCCUUCAUUUGUCCAUUAAUUUGAAAAGAUGAAAUGUAAAAAGCCUUAAUUUGAAAAGCCUACAACAGAUUAACAAAUCAAGUAGAGCUUUAGGGGUACAAAACCGUCUUCACAAAUCCAUUAAUUAUCAUUUAAAGGUUAUUAAAUGUAUUAAGGUUGUGAUUUUCGUUUUCAAAAUGGGUCUUUUAUUUUCUUUUUAUUAUUAAUAGAUUAAAGAUAAUUUAAAGGAUUCUUAUACUGUAUUGACAGUUUACAAUAAGAUUAUAAUAGAUAAAUUAAUUGAUCGUAACAUGUUAAGGGGCUUUCUGCAUGAAUUAAGGGCUUUUUAGAAGUGUAAAAAAUGUGUAAACUUGCAUGUCAUCACCAAUUUUCCACCUUUAGUGAAAAAUGUACAACUAUAAAUGAAGUGAUUGAUUUUAAGUUACAUAUUAAAAUCCAUUUAUUUAACCAUUAUCAC